CCUACAAAAUAUAAGUAAUGCAAUAGAUCCCAUUAGAACUCGACAAUUAAGUGCGCUUAGGAUAGAGUGGUACUGGGAUGGGUGAUCACCCAAGAAGUCCUAGUGUUUCGCAUGC
rnacentral:rRNA from 1 species